rnacentral:rRNA from 1 species
CCAAUAGCGUAUAUUAAAGUUGUUGCAGUUAAAAAGCUCGUAGUUGAAUUUCGAGAUCAAUAUGUCGGUCGUGCUUAGGUACGUACUGGCAUUAUUGAUUUCUCCUUUCUGAUGAACCAUGAUGCCAUUAAUUUGGUGUUAUGGGGAAUCAGGACUGUUACCUUGAAAAAAUUAGAGUGUUUAAAGCAGGCUCACGUUUGAAUACAUUAGCAUGGAAUAAUGAAAUGGGACGUUUGAUUCUAUUUUGUUGGUUUCUAGGAUCGACGUAAUGAUUAAUAGGGAUAGUUGGGGGCAUUAGUAUUCAAUUGUCAGAGGUGAAAUUCUUGGAUUUAUUGAAGACUAACUACUGCGAAAGCAUUUGCCAAGGAUGUUUUCAUUAAUCAAGAACGAAAGUUAGGGGAUCGAAGACGAUCAGAUACCGUCGUAGUCUUAACCAUAAACUAUGCCGACUAGGGAUCGGAUGAUGUUAAUUUUUUAAUGACUCAUUCGGCGCCUUACG